GACGAACGCUGGCGGCGUGCUUAACACAUGCGAGUCGAACGGAAAGGCCCUGCUUUUGUGGGGUGCUCGAGUGGCGAACGGGUGAGUAACACGUGAGUAACCUGCCCUUGACUUUGGGAUAACUUCAGGAAACUGGGGCUAAUACCGGAUAGGAGCUCCUGCUGCUUGGUGGGGGUUGGAAAGUUUCGGCGGUUGGGGAUGGACUCGCGGCUUAUCAGCUUGUUGGUGGGGUAGUGGCUUACCAAGGCUUUGACGGGUAGCCGGCCUGAGAGGGUGACCGGCCACAUUGGGACUGAGAUACGGCCCAGACUCCUACGGGAGGCAGCAGUGGGGAAUAUUGCACAAUGGGCGGAAGCCUGAUGCAGCAACGCCGCGUGCGGGAUGACGGCCUUCGGGUUGUAAACCGCUUUCGCCUGUGACGAAGCGUGAGUGACGGUAAUGGGUAAAGAAGCACCGGCUAACUACGUG
rnacentral:rRNA from 1 species